CGCCCACUAGCUAGCUCACCCAACAUCAUAACAUUUAGAUAUAAAUACACACACAUCAACAAAUAAGCAAACAAAUCAUUUUUCCACUCUAGUAUAGGUGAUAGAAAAAGACAUUCGACGCAAUAGAGAAAGUACCGUAAGGGAACGCUGAAAGAGAAAUGAAAUAACUCAGUAAAGCACAACAAAGCAGAGCUCUCCCCUCGUACCUUUUGCAUCAUGUUUUAGCCAGAGCCCCUCAAGCAAAAAGCAUUGUAGUUUGACAACCCGAAACUAAGGGAGCUACUCCAAGCCAGCCUAAUAAAAAGGGCCAACCCGUCUCUGUGGCAAUAGAGUGGGAAGAGCUUUGAGUAGAGGUGACAGACCUAUCGAACUUAGUUAUAGCUGGUUACCUGAAAAUUGGAUAGAAGUUCAGCCUCUUAAAUUCUCCCCUCACCCUGAUAUCUUUCUAAGUGAGACACCAAGAAAUUAAGAGAGUUAGUCAAAGGGGGUCCAGCCCCUUUGAAUAAAGAAACAACUUUUUUGGGUGGAUAAAGAUCAAAUUCAUAAAGGUAAGUCAUUGAGGUGGGCUUAAAAGCAGCCAUCCUAAUAAAAAGCGUUAAAGCUUGAACAUUGCACUCAAACCCCUAAUUCCGAUUUUAACCUCCUACUCCCCCUUCUCCUAUCAGGUUUUCCCAUAACAUAUGGGAAUAAUAAUGCUAAUAUGAGUAAUAAGAGAGCAAGACUCUCUCCACGCCCAAGUGUAACCCGGAACGGACCCCCCGCCGGCCAUUAACGGUCCCAUAACUGAGGGUAACAGGCCAAAAAUAGAGAACUAGAAGACCACCCAAAUAUCCCCGUUAACCCUACACUGGAGCGCCUCCGUGGAAAGACUAAAAGAAAAAGAAGGAACUCGGCAAACAUAAUUGGCCUCGCCUGUUUACCAAAAACAUCGCCUCUUGACCCCCCCCCAAACAUAAGAGGUCCCGCCUGCCCUGUGACUAUACGUUUAACGGCCGCGGUAUCUUGACCGUGCGAAGGUAGCGCAAUCACUUGUCUUUUAAAUGAAGACCUGUAUGAAUGGCACAACGAGGGCUCAACUGUCUCCUUUUUCCAGUCAAUGAAAUUGAUCUCCCCGUGCAGAAGCGGGGAUAGACCCAUAAGACGAGAAGACCCUGUGGAGCUUUAGACGAGAGCAGCUCACUUUUCAGCUUCCUCUUAUGAAAGAGUAAGACUAAUAUGAAUCCUGCCCUAAUGUCUUUGGUUGGGGCGACCGCGGGGUACCAAAAACCCCCCACGUGGAAUAGGAGAACCCUCCCACAACCAAGAGCGACAGCUCUAAGUAACAGAACCUCUGACCCUCAAGAUCCGGUUUACCGAUCAACGAAACAAGUUACCCUAGGGAUAACAGCGCAAUCCUCUUCUAGAGACCUUAUCAACAAGAGGGUUUACGACCUCGAUGUUGGAUCAGGACAUCCUAAUGGUGCAGCCGCUAUUAAGGGUUCGUUUGUUCAACGAUUAAAGUCCUACGUGAUCUGAGUUCAGACCGGAGUAAUCCAGGUCAGUUUCUAUCUAUGUUAUGCUUUCUUCUAGUACGAAAGGACCGAAGAAAGGGGGCCCCUGCUAAAAGCACGCCCCCUCCUUAUCUAAUGAAAACAACUAAAUAAGACAAAAGGACAUACCCCUCCGUCUAAGAAAAUGACAU